CGUCACAAUACAUUUGCAUGGAGUAAUAAAACGGCGCGUUCAGACAGGUUGCUGUUCUAUCCUUCUCUUUCUGGAGCAUACAAGACACCAACAGGUCAUUGCAAACAAUGCUUCUCCAAACACUAAUCACCCUGAUGCUCAUAGGCACAACUAUGGGCAUGGGCAACAGCACCAUGAGCACCGGCACCAUGACCAACGUCACCAUGAGCAACUCUGCCAUCGCGCAGUUCGUGCCUUCCAGAAUGGCUGGAGUAUUCACCCUCUCGUUGACCUGCAUGGUUCUUCACAACGAGAUGACUGCAUCCUAAGCAAGCUCUGACAAACACCACCCUUAGCCCUACUCAAGAGCAUGCUGGAAAUCUAUGUGCUUUUCUUUGGACUGCAGAUGCAUUGCACUCGACCGUUUAUGGAGAAUAUAGUGAAAGAACGGGAGAAGAUUGUGCAUGUUGUGUUUCUUCUGUGCUUUUGGUAACUGAAAGCACGUUCUAAGUCUAAUUUGCCAUCCUACACUACAUAUAUGCAUGUAUACAAAAUAAACUUUCAAGCCUGUA